rnacentral:rRNA from 1 species
ACAGCAGUCGCCACGGUAAUACGGAGGGAGCUAGCGUUGUUCGGAAUUACUGGGCGUAAAGCGCGCGUAGGCGGUUAUUUAAGUCAGGGGUGAAAGCCCGGUGCUCAACACCGGAACAGCCCUUGAGACUGGAUAACUUGAAUCCAGGAGAGGUGAGUGGAAUUCCGAGUGUAGAGGUGAAAUUCGUAGAUAUUCGGAAGAACACCAGUGGCGAAGGCGGCUUACUGGACUGGUAUUGACGCUGAGGUGCGAAAGCGUGGGGAGCAAACAGGAUUAGAUACCCGCGUAGUCCCUGUCUCUUAUAA